GACUGGCAGGUGUCAUUUGUCCUUGACCUCAUUUUCAUGGUUCAUUGGUCAAUGUUAAGUUGUUGUGUUUUGGUCUGUUUUUCUAAUACUAUAAGCAAUAGGUCAACUAUAUUUGGUGUAUGGAAUGAUUGUAAGGCCUACAUGUUUGUCUGAUAGGGUUUAUCUCACCUUGACUUCAUGUUCAUUCAUCAUUAAAAUGUUAAUUUAAUGUAAA